AUAUCUUGUGCAUCGGGAUUCCGGUGAUGCUUUGGGUAAUCUCAUAGUUGAGGUUUUCCACUAGGGAAUCCGACGAGAUCGCGAGCUUCGUGAUUGAGAAUUUCUAUGCGGCUUGUGGUAAUUUGUGAUGGACUAGUUGGAGCACCCCUGCAGGGUUAAAUAUUUCGGAAGCCGUGCCGCGGUUAUGUGGCAACGUGGAAACUUUGUUUAACACUGGUUCUAGAUAACUUGAAGUUAACUUAAUUAAAAUAUGCCAACUGUGUGCGUAACCGUGACUGUCUCUUUCGUGAGUUCCUUCUCCGAUCGAGGACACGGUGGGGUUAUGUCUGACGUAGGUAGGUGUCAGGAUCAUUCAUUUGAUCAUCUGUAGUUCACUCCGCUAUGGUAGAUCUUUCCCCUCUUAUUUCUGGUACUCGUAAGUUAGCCACCAUAUAC
rnacentral:lncRNA from 1 species